rnacentral:rRNA from 1 species
CCUGAGAAACCCAAAAGAUCGAAUGGGGAGAUUCAUCGUCAGCGAUCCUGGUACGUGUGCGGUUCGUGAUGCUCGAGGCACUGGGGCUUCGGUCUCUCUCGGGCACGCGUCCGCAUGGUUUAUUGCCGGUGGUCGUCGGCGUGCACUUCUCCCCUAGUAGGACGUCGCGACCCGUUGGGUGUCGGUCUACGGCCCGGGCGGUAGCCUGUCGUGUGUCACGCUUCGCGGCGUCAUGCGUCAGACCCCCGGUUGCCCGACCGGCUGCCCGGCGGUACUCGCACGGUAUCGGGCCGCAAAUAUUCGAACUGCGUCCAGCCCGCCGCAAGCGAGGCCAGUGUUGACCCGGUAGUACGGACCUAGCGCCGUCGCCGGGCCUGGCCAGCUGUUGGUCGGCGGUGUCCUCGGACUGGCCCUGUAACAAUUAUGAUACCGGUCGGCGACGCUACUGCUUUGGGUACUUUCAGGACCCGUCUUGAAACACGGACCAAGGAGUCUAACAUGUGCGCGAGUCAUUGGGAACUCUUAAGCCUAAAGGCGCAAUGAAAGUGAAGGUCGGCCUUGCGCCGACCGAGGGAGGAUGGGCCGCGUCACGAUGCGGUCCCGCACUCCCGGGGCGUCUCGUUCUCAUUGCGAGAAGAGGCGCACCCA